ACAGUGUCUGGUGGGUAGUUUGACUGGGGCGGUCUCCUCCUAAAGAGUAACGGAGGAGCACGAAGGUUGGCUAAUCCUGGUCGGACAUCAGGAGGUUAGUGCAAUGGCAUAAGCCAGCUUGACUGCGAGCGUGACGGCGCGAGCAGGUGCGAAAGCAGGUCAUAGUGAUCCGGUGGUUCUGAAUGGAAGGGCCAUCGCUCAACGGAUAAAAGGUACUCCGGGGAUAACAGGCUGAUACCGCCCAAGAGUUCAUAUCGACGGCGGUGUUUGGCACCUCGAUGUCGGCUCAUCACAUCCUGGGGCUGAAGUAGGUCCCAAGGGUAUGGCUGUUCGCCAUUUAAAGUGGUACGCGAGCUGGGUUUAGAACGUCGUGAGACAGUUCGGUCCCUAUCUGCCGUGGGCGCUGGAGAACUGAGGGGGGCUGCUCCUAGUACGAGAGGACCGGAGUGGACGCAUCACUGGUGUUCGGGUUGUCAUGCCAAUGGCACUGCCCGGUAGCUAAAUGCGGAAGAGAUAAGUGCUGAAAGCAUCUAAGCACGAAACUUGCCCCGAGAUGAGUUCUCCCUGACUCCUUGAGAGUCCUGAAGG
rnacentral:rRNA from 1 species